rnacentral:rRNA from 1 species
GACGAACGCUGGCGGCGUGCCUAAUACAUGCGAGUCGAGCGAGUCUGCCUUGAAGAUCGGAGUGCUUGCACUCUGUGAAACAAGAUACAGGCUAGCGGCGGACGGGUGAGUAACACGUGGGUAACCUGCCGAAGAGAUCGGGAUAACACCUGGAAACAGAUGCUAAUACCGGAUAACAACAGAUGAUGCCUAUCAACUGUCUAAAAGAUGGUUCUGCUAUCGCUCGUGGAUGGACCUACGUUGCAUUAGCUAGUUGGUAGGGUAACGGCCUACCAAGGCGACGAUGCAUAGCCGGGUUGAGAGACUGAUCGGCCACAUUGGAACUGAGACACGGCCCAAACUCCUACGGGAGGCAGCAGUAGGGAAUCUUCCACAAUGGACGCAAGUCUGAUGGAGCAACGCCGCGUGAGUGAAGAAGGGUUUCGGCUCGUAAAGCUCUGUUGUUGGUGAAGAAGGACAGGGGUAGUAACUGACCUUUGUUUGACGGUAAUCAAUGAGAAAGUCACGGCUAACUAAGUG